CGAGUUUGAUCCUGGCUCAGAACGAACGCUGGCGGCAUGCCUAACACAUGCAAGUCGAACGAAGGCUUCGGCCUUAGUGGCGCACGGGUGCGUAACGCGUGGGAACCUGCCCCUCGGUUCGGAAUAACAGUUAGAAAUGACUGCUAAUACCGGAUGAUGACUUCGGUCCAAAGAUUUAUCGCCGAGGGAUGGGCCCGCGUAGGAUUAGCUAGUUGGUGGGGUAAAGGCCUACCAAGGCGACGAUCCUUAGCUGGUCUGAGAGGAUGAUCAGCCACACUGGGACUGAGACACGGCCCAGACUCCUACGGGAGGCAGCAGUGGGGAAUAUUGGACAAUGGGCGAAAGCCUGAUCCAGCAAUGCCGCGUGAGUGAUGAAGGCCUUAGGGUUGUAAAGCUCUUUUACCAGGGAUGAUAAUGACAGUACCUGGAGAAUAAGCUCCGGCUAACUCCGUG
rnacentral:rRNA from 1 species